rnacentral:lncRNA from 1 species
AACCACAGAAAUAAACAUCAAUCAUACCAGAAUCACUUAGAGUUCUGGAUUUCUGCAAAAUGUACUACGAAAAGAAAACACGGAACUAUACAAAAAGGUAAGAGGCUUUGAUAUCACCUGUGAAUGAUUACUUGUGUCUGCACCCAUUUUGUGCAUUUCAAGUUCAGCUGUCAAUGAUAUUCCUUUUAGCUCCAUUUGCAUCCCCCGUUCCAAAAUGAAAAUGGCUUCAUACCAACAGUGUUUAAAUUGUACAGGUUUAUGGAACGCGGGAUGCAAAUGGAGCCAACAGAAACAAAAUAAAACAGCCACAAGAAGAAAAUCAUGAUGAUACACCAACACAAGGAACCACAAACCUAGGGUACAUUUAAUUAUUAUUCCCUCCGUCACAUCUAAUUUAUUAAACUACUUCUAAAGAGUUUCACGUUGGAUUGCUGCAGCAGACUACAGCUGCAUUAGCAAAGAGAUUGUCCGGGUGGAAAACUAAAUUGUACAGUGGCCCAUAUAUUACAGACUGAGCCUUUAGUGCAGUGGUAUAUGAGCUGCUGACUAUUGAAACGUCAAGGCUUUUCUUUUCCAUGAUAAUUUUUUUUAAACAAAAAUUACAUGUGUGGGAUUCAAGGAAAUAUUGCUACUUAUAUGAAGAUACUACUUAAUUGUAAUAAAGAGGACUGGCAUUGGGUUACGUUAUGAUGUGCUUUAAACGGUCAAAGUACUGUAAACUGACAAGAUAAAAAGCAUUCUAUUGAAGUUAUAUUUCAAAAUUAAAACAAAUUGUGGUAACAAGAGACAUGAACACGUCAAAAGUAGAUUCAUAUUUCACCAAGGGACACACAAGCAGCACAAUCAGAGAAGACUUACAAGAAAUCACAAACUUCAGCAGCAACAGCACCUUCUAGGCCAACUCAGCCUGCACAGAUUACAUGUAUAAAUUCACAGCACUUGUAAAUCAAACUUAGUUCGAAACAUCUUCUUUGAGGGAAAGGAAGCAAGCUCUAUACUAUGAGGCAACUUCGGACAGAUUAUCCUUAAGAAGAAGGCGAUACGUGUCAAACAAAAUUACUUCUAAGUAUCUUUUGACAAGGACCAAUUCAAGCAUCACUAGUGUCCCACAUCGUUCUCAUCUAUCGCAG